rnacentral:rRNA from 1 species
CCUACGGGAGGCAGCAGUGGGGAAUAUUGCACAAUGGGCGAAAGCCUGAUGCAGCCAUGCCGCGUAUGUGAAGAAGGCCUUCGGGUUGUAAAGCACUUUCAGUCAGGAGGAAAGGGUGUGAGUUAAUACCUCAUAUCUGUGACGUUACUGACAGAAGAAGCACCGGCUAACUCCGUGCCAGCAGCCGCGGUAAU